UAAACGAUGUCGACUUGGAGGUUGUGCCCUUGAGGCGUGGCUUCCGGAGCUAACGCGUUAAGUCGACCGCCUGGGGAGUACGGCCGCAAGGUUAAAACUCAAAUGAAUUGACGGGGGCCCGCACAAGCGGUGGAGCAUGUGGUUUAAUUCGAUGCAACGCGAAGAACCUUACCUGGUCUUGACAUCCACAGAACUUUCCAGAGAUGGAUUGGUGCCUUCGGGAACUGUGAGACAGGUGCUGCAUGGCUGUCGUCAGCUCGUGUUGUGAAAUGUUGGGUUAAGUCCCGCAACGAGCGCAACCCUUAUCCUUUGUUGCCAGCGGUCCGGCCGGGAACUCAAAGGAGACUGCCAGUGAUAAACUGGAGGAAGGUGGGGAUGACGUCAAGUCAUCAUGGCCCUUACGACCAGGGCUACACACGUGCUACAAUGGCGCAUACAAAGAGAAGCGACCUCGCGAGAGCAAGCGGACCUCAUAAAGUGCGUCGUAGUCCGGAUUGGAGUCUGCAACUCGACUCCAUGAAGUCGGAAUCGCUAGUAAUCGUGGAUCAGAAUGCCACGGU
rnacentral:rRNA from 4 species